rnacentral:tRNA from 1 species
GCCCCAGUAACUCAAUGGGAGAGUGCCGUGCUUAUGACGCGGAAGUCGCGGGAUCGAAACCCGCCUGGGGCA